rnacentral:rRNA from 1 species
AUUGAACGCUGGCGGCAUGCUUUACACAUGCAAGUCGAACGGUAACAGGGAGCUUGCUCCGCUGACGAGUGGCGAACGGGUGAGUAAUGCGUCGGAACGUGCCGAGUAGUGGGGGAUAACGCAGCGAAAGUUGUGCUAAUACCGCAUACGUACUGAGGUAGAAAGUGGGGGACCUUCGGGCCUCACGCUAUUCGAGCGGCCGACGUCUGAUUGGCUAGUAGGUGAGGUAAAGGCUCACCUAGGCGACGAUCAGUAGCGGGUCUGAGAGGAUGAUCCGCCACACUGGGGCUGAGACACAGCCCAGACUCCUACGGGGGGCAGCAGUGGGGAAUUUUGGACAAUGGGCGAAAGCCUGAUCCAGCCAUGCCGCGUGUCUGAAGAAGGCCUUCGGGUUGUAAAGGACUUUUGUCGGGGAGGAAAUCCCCAGCGCUAAUACCGCUGGGGGAUGACAGUACCUGAAGAAUAAGCACCGGCUAACUACGUGCCAGCCGCCGCAGUAAAAC